rnacentral:rRNA from 1 species
UUCGACUGUUUACCAAAAACAUAGCUAAUAGAAAAAAUUAUUAUUAGUGAUGCCUGCUCAAUGAUUGAACAAUAAUAAACAACAACAAUUAAAUAGCCGCGGUAACACCUAACCGUGCAAAGGUAGCAUAAUAAAUAGCCUACUAAUUAUAGGAUAGAAUGAAGGUAAAACGAAGACCCAACUGUCUCAAAACCCUAAAUUUAAAAUAGACUGUGUGUGUAAAUCCACACUAAAACGGCAAGACGAUCAGACCCUAAGAACUUUACCCAAAACUUUAAAUACAAAAAAGUUUUAAGUUUCGUUGGGGCAACGAUCUUUAAAAAAGUAACUAAGAAUAACUAAUCAAACAUAACAUAAAUAACUAUAAUUAUAAAAAGAUAAAACCCAUUAACAAAAAUUAAUGAAAAAAAAUAAAAGUUCCUUAGGGAUAACAGCGUCAUAUCGUUUUUCAGAAAAUACACAAACGAUGUUUGCGACCUCGAUGUUGGAAUUACRA